rnacentral:rRNA from 1 species
UACAGAGGGUGCGAGCGUUAAUCGGAAUUACUGGGCGUAAAGCGUGCGUAGACGGUCAAGUAAGUCGGGUGUGAAAGCCCCGGGCUCAACCUGGGAAUUGCAUUCGAGACUGCGUGGCUAGGGUGCGGAAGAGGGAAGCGGAAUUUCCGGUGUAGCGGUGAAAUGCGUAGAUAUCGGAAGGAACACCAGUGGCGAAAGCGGCUUCCUGGU